rnacentral:lncRNA from 1 species
AUAAUUAAUUCUCAAGUUAUUAUGAAAUUUGUUAUUUAAAUAAUAUUUCAUGAACUAGGCUGGAAUACUAUCAAUAACACAAAUUUAUUGAUAGAAAUGUGUGGUUUUGAUGAUAUGGACCUCUAAGAUUGAAUGGGUGGGUGGUUGGUUGAAUAGUAUAAUCUAACGGAUAAAAAUAAUCAAAAGGUUAAAUUUAACGGUGGAAAAUUCGAUAGUACCAAGCCUUUGGUAUUAUCGAUAGUAUGUCAGCUGGACUAUUGUUAUAUAUAUUUUUAGUAAUUUAAUAUUUAUAUUUAAUAUAAUUCUACAAUAAACAACAAUCAAAUAUAAUCAAUAAAUGAAAUUUAAAACGACAUGAAUUAAAAUUAAAUUUAAUCUAAUUACGUUU